UUUCUGAGAUUCUCAUUGCACAGAAUGAACGGUAUUAACUCCAUUCAGCCAUGCUACCCUGCAAAGAAGACGCCAUGACUAUUGUCAAUAGCUUGAAUAUGAAGAAACAUAAAAAAGGAACCUCUAAAGCAUGAUUUUGUGGAAAAAGGAGUCCCAAAUGACUGCAGAAGGGAAAGACUUAGAGUGGACAUUUAUGGAUGAAGAGAUGGUCUAGUAAGAGGAUAGCAAAAAUACAGGAUGCACUGUCAUAAAAAGGACACAAGACACUUCAAGCAUGUUCCUGACCUGCUCAGCAAGGAUAUUGCACAGCAAGAGGUUAUUCAAACUCAGCCAAGGACCAGAAUUGUUCCACUGAAGGCUCAGAGGAGACAUUGUGAUAUAUACUGUGGUUGCACUGGAUUAUUUCCCUUGAACAGCAAAAAUGCACAUAACAUAAGAACAUAUAUUGUAGUGGUGGAAGUGUGCAGGCUGAAAGAGUAG
rnacentral:lncRNA from 1 species